rfam:Populus trichocarpa isolate Nisqually-1 chromosome 2, whole genome shotgun sequence.
UAAUUUAUCUGAGAUGAAUUCUUAUUUAGUAAUGAGAAACACAUAUUUAACUAUUCAAAAUCAUUCGUACGACUCAACAUCACUAAUUUAGGGCUUGUGU